rnacentral:rRNA from 1 species
UGGCGAUCCAACCUGCAAAUCGAGGGGGCACGGGGAGCGAAGCUUGCUUUGCUCCGCCGGCGACCGGCGCACGGGUCCCUUUCGCGUAUGCAACCUGCCCGUUUCAGCGGGAUAACCCGCAUAAAUCCGGCCUAAUACCGCAUGUGGCCGAGGGGAGGCAUCUUCUUUCGGCCAAAGGAGGCGACUCCGGAGACGGAUGGGCAUGCGUGACAUUAGCUUGUUGGCGGGGUAACGGCCCACCAAGGCGACGAUGUCUAGGGGUUCUGAGAGGAAGGUCCCCCACACUGGUACUGAGACACGGACCAGACUCCUACGGGAGGCAGCAGUGAGGAAUAUUGGUCAAUGGGCGAGAGCCUGAACCAGCCAAGUCGCGUGAAGGAUGACGGCCCUACGGGUUGUAAACUUCUUUUGUCAGGGAGCAAUUGGGUCCACGUGUGGGCUUAGCGAGAGUACCUGAAGAAAAAGCAUCGGCUAACUCCGUGCCAGCAGCCGCGGUAAUACGGAGGAUGCGAGCGUUAUCCGGAUUUAUUGGGUUUAAAGAGUGCGUAGGCGGAAUAUCAAGUCAGCGGUAAAAAUUCGGGGCUCAACCCCGUCGUGCCGUUGAAACUGAUGUUCUUGAGUGGGCGAGAAGUAUGCGGAAUGCGUGGUGUAGCGGUGAAAUGCAUAGAUAUCACGCAGAACUCCGAUUGCGAAGGCAGCA